GUGGGCAGGCCAGACUUUAAAUUUUAAACAAAAAGACAUGUUUUUAAUAAACAGGUGAAAAACUUUUUA
rnacentral:tRNA from 1 species